rnacentral:lncRNA from 1 species
GGAUUGGCUGCACUGGGCUGGGCUUGUUUGUUUUUUCAAAAUAAAAAAGUUUUCUUUUUGAUGACAAAAGUAAGAGAUGAUCAUUGUUUAAAAAUAAAGUGAAAAGUAUAAAAGUAAAGAGUAAUGUGCUUCCUUUUACUCUAAAAAAAGUGUAUAUAACACAGUUUAAAAAUAAAAUUGACAUUGUAUUUUCUGACUUUUCUCAUUUAAAAAUAAGCAUUCUUCCAUGUCAUUAACAUUAUUUAAAAAUACAAUAUUGUGUCAUAUUUCAUAUGGAUCUAACAAAAUUUAUUUAGAUCAUCUCAUGAUGCAGAUAUUUUGGAUGUUACCAAUUUUGCUUAUAAAAUUCUGAUGAACAUAUUGUAUAUUCACCUUUAUAUGCAUCUCUAUUUCUUUAGAAUUAAUUCCUAGAAUUGGAAUUACUGAGUUUGAAUUAUGAGAGCAUUAUUAGGGCACUGAAAGGUACUGUUAAAUUAUACUGAAUAUAGUCACACAAAUUACAUUCCCAUCAGUGGUGCAUGAAUGUGCUAUUUCUCCACACAUUCAUCAAAACAUGCUCUUUCCUUUAAUAAAUCUCUGAUCAUUUGAUAGGUAAAUUUCCAUUUGUUUUAGAGAUUGUUUCUAAUUUACAUACACUAAAAUUCACUCUUACAGUGUAUAGUUCUAUAGUUUGACAAGUAUAGAGUCAUGUGUUCUUCCAUUCUAGUACCAUACAGAACUGUUUCAUCUCUAGUAAUUUCUCUUGAUUGCACUUUUUGUUGUAAAUCCCUUUCCCCAUCUUCAGUCCCUGGAAACCACUUGUUUGUCAUCUAUCCCUAUGGUUUUUGCCUUUUACAGAAAGUCAUAUGGAUGGAAUCAUGCAAUAUGUAGACCUUUUUGAUCUGGCUUCUUUCACUUAGUAAAAUGAAUUUAAGUAUCAUCUACAUUGUUUUUAGGUAAAUUAAUAUUCAUUCCUUUUUAUUUUUGUACUUCAUUGUAUGGCUAUACCAGUUUGUUUAUCCAUUCAUUAAUGGAUAGACAUGUGAGAUGUUUCCAUUUUUAGGCCAUUAUAAAUAAAGUUGCUAUAAACUCUCAGAUGCCAGUUUUGUGUGAAUGUAAAUGUUCAGUUCAAUAGGGCAAAUGCCUAAGAGUGAAAAUGAAGGCUAAAACUUCUCCAAAGUUUCUAUAUCAUUUUGCAUUCCCACCAUAAGUAUUGAGUUCUGGUUGUUCCACUUCUUCCACAUCUUAACCAGCACUUGGCAUUACUGUAUUUUUUUAAUUUUAGUCAUUGAAUAUGUAGUGGUAUAUCAUUGUGGUUUUAAUUUGCAAUGCGCUAAUGGUAUAUGAGUUUGAGCAUCUUUUCAUACACUUAUUUGUCAUCUGAAUGUCUUAUUUUGUGAAGCUUCUGUUUGAAUAUUCCCCCCCCCCUUUUAGCGGGUGAUUCUUUUUUUUCUUACUGUUUAGAUCUCCCCCCAUGUAUAUACACACACACACACACACACAUUAGAUCCUGGACCAGGGAUCAAGCCCAAGCAUAGCAGUGACAACAUUGAAUCCCAAGUGCUAUGCCACCAGGGAGUUCCUUGAUUUCUAUAUAUAUAGUCUUUUUAGGGCUGCACCUACAGCAUCUGGAGGUUCCUAGGCUAGAGACUGAAUUGAAGCUGUAGCUGCUGGCCUACACCACAGCCACAGCAACACCAGAUCUGAGCUGUGUCUGUGACCUACACCGCGGAUCACGGUAAUGCCAGAUCCUUAACUCACUGAGCAAGGCCAGGCAUCAAACCUGUGUCCUCAUGGAUACUAGUCAUUCUUUUCUGCUGAGCCAUGACAGGAACUACUUUAUCAUAUAUAUUGUUUGGAGUGGAUUCUCCAAGCCUGUGCUUGUCUUUCUAGUAGCAGUGCCUUUUUCAGAGCAAAAUGUUUAAUUUUAUGAAGUCCACUUUGUCAAAUAUGUGCCAGUAUAAAUUGGGAUGGGUAUAAAUGAAAUUAAAAUGUUCUAAGUCACUUACAUUAUCCAGGUGGUGUUUAAUGAUAACAUAUUUAUUGUGGAAGUCAGACUCUAAGGAUAAAUUUAGAAGCUCUGGCCUAAUCCUUAUACUUUGUAAUAUCACUUUUGAUGUGGGCAGGAUCUGUGUCUUGCUUCUAACCAAUAAACUAUGGCAAAGAUGAUGGGAUGUCAUUGUCAUGAAAAUAUUGCAUAAUAUUACAUUUCCACAUAAAAAUAGUCUCAAAAAUAUACAGUGCAUUAAUUUAUAGAAGUCCAUAGAAAAACUCUAAAAUCACCAAACAAGAGAAUUCAACAUCUCUUUUGAAGUACUGAGAAAUCACAUAGACGAAAUCAAUAGCAUACAGAUUUAAACAAUACAACUUAGAAGCCUCACCAAAUGCAAAUAGAAAUACAGACACUUCGCUUUAAAAAUUUUCAGAAAACAAUUCAUUUGAAGCACACUUGCAACCAUUACGAGUUGACUCUCCAUUAAAAAUUAUUUACUAAUUUAAGAAUUGGUAUAGCAUCCAUGUUGUCUUAAAACACUGUAACUAAGUUAUAUAUUAGUAACGAAGGUAAAUAAAACAUCUACAUAUAUUUUGUAACUUAAAACACAUUUCUAAGUGGGAGGGAUCGGAAGCUUGGGCUUAUCAGACACAACUUAGAUUUACAAGGAGAUCCUGCUGAAUAGCAUUGAGAACUUUGUCUAGAUACUCAUGUUGCAACAGAACAAAGGGUGGGGGAAAAAUGUAUACAUGUAAGGAUAACUUGAUCCCCUUGCUGUACAGUGGGAAAAUUAAAAAAAAAAAACAUAUUUAUAAAUACAUGGAUCAAAGAGAUCAUGAGGGAAAUCUUAAAAUCUUAAAGUUUAAACAUAAUGAAAAUACUAUGUAUAAAAACCUAUGAGACAAUUAAAACAUGCUUUCAGGGAAGUUUAUAGCCUUAACUACUCAUAUUUGAUGUGAAAAUCAGCUAGUUCUCCAACCUAAAAACAUAGUACGAACAAUGGGGAGGGGGCAAAUAGAAGGGAGAAAUUAUUAAGGGUGAAAGCAUAAAUUCAUAAAAUAGAGAACAAGGUCAAUAAAAGUAAGAUGCCUUGUUUUCAUGAAGCUAAUAAAAUAGACAUUUGACAGAUUCACCAAGAUGAAAAGGUACAAGGAAAUAUGAAAAAACAAAAAGGUAAUAUGAAGAAAAGAUUAAAAAGAAUAAGGAACAAGUAUUGACAAAUGCCAAUAGGGCUGAAAAUUGAGAGGAAAUUGAUGCAUUCCUAGAAAAAUGUAACAACAAAACUGACUCAAAACAGGAAAGCUUGUAUAAUCCCAUUAAAUUUUGAGUAAUUAAAAUCUUCCAAGAGACCCCAACCAUAUGCUUUCUACUACAAUCUCUUCCAAUAAAAAUACAUGGAUAAUGAUUAGAGUUCCCAUCGUGGCUCAGUGGUUAACGAAUCUGAAUAGGAACUAUGAGGUUGUGGGUUCGAUCCCUGCCCUUGCUCAAUGGCCAAGGAUCCGGCGUUGCCGUGAGCUGUGGUGUGGGUCACAGAUGCGGCUCAGAUCCCGUGUUGCUGUGGCUCUGGCGUAGGCCGGUGGCUACAGCUCCGAUUCGACCCCUAGCCUGGGAACCUCCAUAUGCUGCAGGUGUGGCCCUAGAAAAGGCAAAAAAAAUUAGUAAAUAAAAUCCCACCAAAAAUAUUAAACACCUAGGAAUAAACCUGACCAUGGACAUGAAAGAUUAUAUGCUGAGGACCAUAAAACAUUAAUGAAAUCAAAGAAGAUUCAAGGAAAUGGAAAAUAUCCCAUGCUCCUGGAUUGGAAGAAUUAAUAUUGUUAAAAUAGCCAUACUUUCCAAAGCAACCUACAGAUUUAAUGUGAUCCCUAUCAAAUUACUGAUGACAUUUUUCAUAGAACUAGAACAAUUAAUCCAAAAAUGUAUAUGGAACCAUAAAAGACCCAGACUUGGCAAAGCAAUCCUGAAGGAAAAACAAAUCAAACAACCCCCCCAAAAAAAACAGGAGGCAUAACUCUCCCAGACCUCAGACAUUAUUACAAAGCUGUUUACAUGCAACUGUCCAGUUUUCCCAGCACAACUUGCUGAAGAGACUGUUUUUUGUUUUUUGUUUUUCCUACUUUAUAUUCUUGCUUCCUUUGUUGAUUGACUGUAGGCGUUUGGGUUUAUUUCUGGCCUCCCUACCCUGUUCCAUUGGUUUGUAUGUCUAUUUUUGUUCCAGUACCACAUCACACAUACUGGUCAGAAUGGCCAUCAUUAAUAAGUCUGCAAAGAACCAUGUGCAAAAAAGGGAAACCUCCUACACUGUUGGUGGGAAUGUAAAUUGGUGCAACCACUAUGGAAAACAGUAUGGAGGUUCCUCAGAAAACUAUAGAACUACCAUAUAUGAUGCAGUGAUCCCACUCCUGGGCAUAUGUCUGGACAAAACUACAAUUCAAAAAGACACAUGCACCCAUAUGUUCAUAGCAGCACUAUUCAUAAUAUCCAAGACAUGGAAAUAACCUAAAUGUCGAAAAACAGAUGAGUGAAUUAAGAAGAAUCCAAUGGAUUGUAUACAGUGAAAUACAACCCAGCUAUAAAAAAGAAUAAAGCCAUUUGCAGCAACAUGGAUACAAUUAGAGACUCUCAUACUAAGUGAAGUCAGAAAAAGACAUCAUAUGACAUCACUUAUAUGUGGAAUCUAAAAUAUGGCACAAAUGAACCUAUCUACAAAACAGAAACAGACUCAUGGACAUAGAGAACAGAUUUGUGCUUGCCAAGGGGGAGGGGGGAGAGAAUGGGAUGGACGAGGAGUUUGGGGUUAGUAGAUGCAAACUAUGACAUUUAGAAUGGAUAAGCAAUGAGAUCCUACUCUGCAGUACACGGAACCAAAUCCAGUCUCUAGGGAUAGACCAUGAUGGAAAAUAAGAAAGGGAAUGUAUAUAUAAUGUAGAGUGGGUCACUUUGCUGUAUAGCAGAAAUUGGCGCGACAUCAUAAAUCAACUA